CCGUGCUAGGCGGGGAGCUAGCGGUGCCCUGUACUCACAAUCCGCUUUAGUGAGGCUUAAUUCCAGGCAGAGGUUUAUGGUGGUGAGGUUUGCGCCUGCGUAAGUGGCGUUGAAGGUUGGGUCUUGUGCGGCGAAGACUUACAAAUCCCGUCAGGUCCGAGAGGAAGCAGCGGUAAGUAAAUUUCUUCGGGUGCCACAAACAAACCUGGCCGGAGCAAACUGCACAGGUGGCGCUUGUUAUUAUAAAUCGAAGCCUGGUGCACGG
rnacentral:SRP_RNA from 1 species